GCUUUAUAGUCAAUUAUGAUAUUAAAUUGCAAAUUUAAAGGAAAACUUA
rnacentral:tRNA from 1 species